UACGGGGGGGGCAAGCGUUGUUCGGAAUUACUGGGCGUAAAGGGCUCGUAGGCGGCCAACUAAGUCGGAUGUGAAAUCCCCAGGCUUAACCUGGGAACUGCGUCUGAUACUGGAUGGCUUGAGUGUGGGAGAGGGAUGCGGAAUUCCAGGUGUAGCGGUGAAAUGCGUAGAUAUCUGGAGGAACACCGGUGGCGAAGGCGGCAUCCUGGACCACGACUGACGCUGAGGAGCGAAAGCCAGGGGAGCAAACGGG
rnacentral:rRNA from 1 species